rnacentral:SRP_RNA from 1 species
GCAGGGUGCCCGCGCGAUGCUAGAUGGUGAACUCCGCCAGGCCCGGAAGGGAGCAACGGUAGCUGUUGAUGCAUGCGCCGCGUCAGUGCUCUGCAGG